AUUGAACGCUGGCGGCAUGCCUUACACAUGCAAGUCGAACGGCAGCACGGGAGCAAUCCUGGUGGCGAGUGGCGAACGGGUGAGUAAUAUAUCGGAACGUGCCCAGUAGUGGGGGAUAACUAGUCGAAAGAUUAGCUAAUACCGCAUACGCACUAUGGUGGAAAGCGGGGGAUCGCAAGACCUCGCGCUAUUGGAGCAGCCGAUGUCCGAUUAGGUAGUUGGUGGGGUAAAGGCCUACCAAGCCUGCGAUCGGUAACUGGUCUGAGAGGACGACCAGUCACACUGGGACUGAGACACGGCCCAGACUCCUACGGGAGGCAGCAGUGGGGAAUUUUGGACAAUGGGGGAAACCCUGAUCCAGCAAUGCCGCGUGUGUGACGAAGGCCUUCGGGUUGUAAAGCACUUUUGGCGGGAACGAAACGGCGCUUUCUAAUACAGAGCGCUAAUGACGGUACCGUAAGAAUAAGCACCGGCUAACUACGUG
rnacentral:rRNA from 1 species